GAAAGCACUCAACAAUCAAUUACAAGUGAGUACAAUCUAUUCUUCUAGAAUGUGACAGAUUAUAGUCCGGACAACACUAGAUUUGUAGCAUAACAAACAUAAGAAUGUUUUUGUUUUGAUAUUACAUGUCAUAACUUUUCAGGAUGUGAGCUAUGAGCCCAUAAUUGACAUGGUUCGUGAGGUGUUGAAACUGAUAUGGGACAACUUCUUAUGCUGGGAAGAUUUUUUUGCUUGAAGUUAUGGGAUUUCAAAUACAUUUAGACAUGGCAUUUAAUCUCUAAGCUGACAUCGGACGAUUUUUAUGUUGGGAUGGUUCAAAUCACUUCUUUCUUGUCUGUAAUAUGUUCUGAAAAUCCAUUUUUGAUGUAGCCGAUAAAAACUAAUGAUAUUAAAU
rnacentral:lncRNA from 1 species